AGAGUUUGAUCCUGGCUCAGGACGAACGCUGGCGGCGUGCUUAACACAUGCAAGUCGAGCGGUAAGGCCUUUCGGGGUACACGAGCGGCGAACGGGUGAGUAACACGUGGGUGAUCUGCCCUGCACUUCGGGAUAAGCCUGGGAAACUGGGUCUAAUACCGGAUAUGACCUCCUAUCGCAUGGUGGGUGGUGGAAAGAUUUAUCGGUGCAGGAUGGGCCCGCGGCCUAUCAGCUUGUUGGUGGGGUAAUGGCCUACCAAGGCGACGACGGGUAGCCGACCUGAGAGGGUGACCGGCCACACUGGGACUGAGACACGGCCCAGACUCCUACGGGAGGCAGCAGUGGGGAAUAUUGCACAAUGGGCGAAAGCCUGAUGCAGCGACGCCGCGUGAGGGAUGACGGCCUUCGGGUUGUAAACCUCUUUCAGCAGGGACGAAGCGCAAGUGACGGUACCUGCAGAAGAAGCACCGGCUAACUACGUGCCAGCAGCCGCGGUAAUACGUAGGGUGCAAGCGUUGUCCGGAAUUACUGGGCGUAAAGAGUUCGUAGGCGGUUUGUCGCGUCGUUUGUGAAAACCAGCAGCUCAACUGCUGGCUUGCAGGCGAUACGGGCAGACUUGAGUACUGCAGGGGAGACUGGAAUUCCUGGUGUAGCGGUGAAAUGCGCAGAUAUCAGGAGGAACACCGGUGGCGAAGGCGGGUCUCUGGGCAGUAACUGACGCUGAGGAACGAAAGCGUGGGUAGCGAACAGGAUUAGAUACCCUGGUAGUCC
rnacentral:rRNA from 1 species